rnacentral:rRNA from 1 species
GACGAACGCUGGCGGCGUGCCUAAUACAUGCAAGUAGGACGCAGUUGCGAACGGGUGAGUAACGCGUAGGUAACUACCUAUUAGAGGGGGAUAACUAUUGGAAACGAUCGCUAAUACCGCAUACUCGUAGAUGGACCUGCGUUGUAUUAGCUAGUAGGUAGGGUAAUGGCCUACCGAGGCAACGAUACAUAGCCGACCUGAGAUGGUGAUAGCACACACUGGUACGGAGACACGGCCCAGACUCCUACGGGCGGCAGUAGUAGGCACUCGUCGGAGAUAGGGGGAACCCUGACCGAGCAACGCCGCGUGAGUGAAGAUGGUGUUCGGAUCGUAAAGCUCUGUUGUUCAGGACGCGGUACUUAACCAGAAAGGGACGGCUAACUACGUGCCAGCAGCCGCGGUAAUAC